CAGUAGCCGCGGGAAAACGUAGGUGGCAAGCGUUGUCCGGAAUUAUUGGGCGUAAAGCGCGCGCAGGCGGAUCAGUCAGUCUGUCUUAAAAGUUCGAGGCUUAACCCCGUGAUGGGAUGGAAACUGCUGAUCUAGAGUAUCGGAGAGGAAAGUGGAAUUCCUAGUGUAGCGGUGAAAUGCGUAGAGAUUAGGAGGAACACCAGUGGCGAAGGCGGCUUUUUGGCCUGUAACUGACACUGAGGCGCGAAAGCGUGGGGAGCAAACAGGAUUAGAUACCCGCGUAGUCCCUGUCUCUUAACAC
rnacentral:rRNA from 1 species